rnacentral:rRNA from 1 species
ACGGGUGAGUAACACGUGGGUGAUCUGCCCUGCACUUCGGGAUAAGCCUGGGAAACUGGGUCUAAUACCGGAUAUGACCUUCGGCUGCAUGGCUGAGGGUGGAAAGGUUUACUGGUGCAGGAUGGGCCCGCGGCCUAUCAGCUUGUUGGUGGGGUAAUGGCCUACCAAGGCGACGACGGGUAGCCGACCUGAGAGGGUGACCGGCCACACUGGGACUGAGACACGGCCCAGACUCCUACGGGAGGCAGCAGUGGGGAAUAUUGCACAAUGGGCGAAAGCCUGAUGCAGCGACGCCGCGUGAGGGAUGACGGCCUUCGGGUUGUAAACCUCUUUCAGCAGGGACGAAGCGAAAGUGACGGUACCUGCAGAAGAAGCACCGGCUAACUACGUGCCAGCAGCCGCGGUAAUACGUAGGGUGCAAGCGUUGUCCGGAAUUACUGGGCGUAAAGAGUUCGUAGGCGGUUUGUCGCGUCGUUUGUGAAAACUCACAGCUCAACUGUGAGCCUGCAGGCGAUACGGGCAGACUUGAGUACUGCAGGGGAGACUGGAAUUCCUGGUGUAGCGGUGAAAUGCGCAGA